rnacentral:rRNA from 1 species
GUCGAACGGAACUGUUUUGAAAGAUUUCUUCGGAAUGAAUUUGAUUUAGUUUCGUGGCGGACGGGUGAGUAACGCGUGAGUAACCUGCCUUCAAGAGGGGAAUAACAUUCUGAAAAGAAUGCUAAUACCGCAUGACAUAUCGGAACCACAUGGUUUUGAUAUCAAAGAUUUUAUCGCUUGAAGAUGGACUCGCGUCCGAUUAGUUAGUUGGUGAGGUAACGGCUCACCAAGACCGCGAUCGGUAGCCGGACUGAGAGGUUGAACGGCCACAUUGGGACUGAGACACGGCCCAGACUCCUACGGGAGGCAGCAGUGGGGGAUAUUGCGCAAUGGGGGCAACCCUGACGCAGCAACGCCGCGUGAAGGAUGAAGGUUUUCGGAUUGUAAACUUCUUUUAUUAAGGACGAAAAAUGACGGUACUUAAUGAAUAAGCUCCGGCUAACUACGUGCCAGCAGCCGCGGUAAUACGUAGGGAGCAAGCGUUGUCCGGAUUUACUGGGUGUAAAGGGUGCGUAGGCGGCUUUGCAAGUCAGAUGUGAAAUCUAUGGGCUCAACCCAUAAACUGCAUUUGAAACUGUAGAGCUUGAGUGAAGUAGAGGCAGGCGGAAUUCCCCGUGUAGCGGUGAAAUGCGUAGAGAUGGGGAGGAACACCAGUGGCGAAGGCGGCCUGCUGGGCUUUAACUGACGCUGAGGCACGAAAGCGUGGGUAGCAAACAGGAUUAGAUACCCUGGUAGUCCACGCUGUAAACG